rnacentral:tRNA from 10 species
UGGUUUGUAGUGUAGUCCGGUAGCACACGACACUUUGACUGUCGUAGGUUUGGUUCAAAUCCAGACAGACCAGCCA